rnacentral:rRNA from 1 species
UCUGGAGCGGGCUAGCGUUGCUCGGAAUUACUGGGCGUAAAGCGCACGUAGGCGGAUUGUUAAGUCGGGGGUGAACUCCGGGGGCUCAACCCCGGAAUGGCCUCCGAUACUGGCAAUCUUGAGGUCGGGAGAGGUGAGUGGAACGGCGGGUGUAGAGGUGAAAUUCGUAGAUAUUCGCCGGAACACCGGUGGCGAAGGCGGCUCACUGGCCCGAUACUGACGCUGAGGUGCGACAGCGUGGGGAGCAAACAGG